AAAAAAAAAAAAUUAUCAGUGCUUCUCCAACAGCCUUAGAAUAAGUUCAGACUUUUUAGGAUGACAUACUCGACCAUGCUAAUCUUCCUGGAUUUCUCCUUCAGGACUUCUGCCACGGAUUUAUACAAUGUAUUUAUUUAGAACCUACUUGCCAGGCUCUGUUCUUCACCCUCAACUCUCUGGGUACAGCUUUUUCCCUAAGGUCUUUACACAUAGUACUUUCUUUGCUUGGAAUAUCUUUCUCUGUAACCUGCCCACUUGUCUGGCUUACUUCUACUUCUCCUUCAGAACUCAUCUCAAUAUUCACCUUGUGUGGUUAAAGACCCUAUGCGUGGUCAGAGUUAGGCACCCUUAUAAGCUCCCCUGUUGAUAUCACCUCACUGUUGCCUCAUCAACUGCAUAUUCAUCUUUGUUCUCAUGAUACUAUAAUGUCCUUCAAAGCGGAAACUGUGUCUUAUUCAUCUUUGUAUUCCCAGCACCCAGCACAAUACCUGACACAGCGCAAGCACUCAAUAAUGAAUAAAGUGGCAGAGUUGGGUUUCAAAGUCAGGUCUUUUCUCUCUGGCACAAAUCUCACAUUUCUUCAUGCCACUUCUCAAUACUGUGAAUCUGAAAAAUUCUAAGAGCUGAGCAAGGUCUAUUUUUGCCUAGCACUAAUUAAAACACAGGCAAAUAGAUUAUUAUUAGUUCCAUGAGGAUUCAGUUUAUAUUUCUGUACACCCCUUCCUCCAUCAUUCCACCACUUGGAUCAUCAGAGUACUUAGGAUUAUCUAUAUCUAAAAUGACUGAAAGGCUAGGCAUGGUUGAGUGCACCUGUAGCCGCAGUUACUCAGGAGGCUGAGGUGGGAGGCUUGCUUGAGCCCAGGAGUUGGAGGUCAGCCUGGGUAACACAGUGAGAUGUUGUUGUAAUAAAUAAAUAAGUAGACUGAAAGAACUUUCUCUAUACUUUUAUAUCCUUUUGUAACUCUUAUCCUGCUGCUUCCAUAAUACCACUGAGGCAGGGAGAGAGUAAGUACAUGGGGAGUAAGGUAAAUUUUAUUUUUCUGUCAACAGACACUAAAAAUGGAUACAUCAAUAGAAAAUCAUUUCCCAUCAUUUCCCUCAAGGUUCCUAUGGAUAGAUACUAAAGGUUCAGUGCUAAAAUUUAACAUUGCAAAAUCCACCUAAAAUUGAAAUUUUUAUGUAGUGAGUUCAAUCUCAUCACAGAAGUUUGUAAAUGGGAGGAGCCUUAGAAAUCCUUUAGUCCAGCACUUUCAUUUAAGCUUCCACAAAGAAACUGACAUAAGACCUACAAUGGCUCACUCAAGGUCAUCCAGGCUAUUGAUGCCAUUAUACAUCUUUUUCAAAGGGCUUUAUUUUCCAUCUAAACAAAUUGUCUACAUCAGAAUCCACCUAUUUACAUAGGGCUUAUCUUUCUGAUAUUGCCUUUGCAAUAUCCUUGUUAUAAAGAGGAAGGAACUGAAAACAAAACAAAACAAAACAAGGUUGUCUUGUCCAGGGACGUAGGGGAAUUGGUAAAAGAGACAAUUAGUACACAAAGUGAUGGGGUUUCCUAUUUGUAGUGCAGCCUUGUAAUCACACUGUGUUCUCUGAAUGCCACAAUACUAACCCAAGCUUACUUGUCCUUCCUGGGCCUGGAUUCCAUUCAAUUCUAUGCCUUAUUUAGUCUAAAUGAUUUCCCCAGCUUCAACGUGUAUUUAUUUAUUUAUUUAUUUAUGCGUUUCAUUUUAGAAGUAUACUUAAAUCUACUCUUUACUCGAGUGUGUCUUAGUUCUAGUGCUGAGGAAUGAAGAUUUUGGGUAAAAGAAAUCGAGAUGAUUUUUUUUUCUAGGCUUUACAUUUCAAGGAUGGUUUCUCAAAUGGCAACUGGCAGUCUGCUCCUCAAAUGAUGACACUUUCCACGGGAAUUAGAAUUUAAUUGGAAUAAUUUGUUUUCAACGGGAAGCAAAGAUUUCUUUCCAAGAGGAUCAGUUUGAUAAUGUUUUACCAGCUAGUGCUACGAGACCAAAUAUAAACCAGUUCUGAGAAACAGGAAGUGAACUGACUGGUCUAGUCUGAGUGUCCCUGGCAGUGACGCAAAUACAGAAAUCAAAUUAGGAAAACAAGAUAUGUGGGUGUGAGGCAAUCGAUAAUCCAGGAUGCUACAACAUAAGCAAGAACGCCUUUAACCCGAUGCCGUUCAUUUUAAUAACACCCUGAGCAGUUUGAUUUCCAUGGAACACGCUGGUGAUUAGAGAGCAGCAGGAGCUUGGGUUCCCUAGCAACAGCAUGUGCUUUUGAGACAGUCAUUAGCCUUUCAGUUAAUCCCAUCAACCCCUUACCUCUAAAUGUAUGACUGACAUUAAAAAAAUGAUGUUUUAGAAAGUGCUUUGAAAUUUCCAGGAGUGCAAUGGAAGGGAAUAAUCAUAAUUAAAAAGUUGCCUGGAGAACUACAGUCCAGUGAAGGAAGUAAUGUUCCUACAUGCCCAGCCUGUCCGUAAACUUCCCUGCUCUCAGUUGUAGGUUCUGAAUUCCCGUGGCAAAGGGCAAGGGAGGUGAAAUUGUUCAGAGUUUCAGGCAGUCUUCUCACCCAACGUGAGUAGUAUUGCAAUGUCUGUCGGAAUCAUGGCUCUGAAGAUGAGGAGAGGAGCGGGGUGGGCAGUUUGUGUGGUGAGGAGUCUGGCCGCAGGUAGACUGGGAGGGAAUGUCACACACAGUUUUCUUUCUCCUUUAAGCCGAAUGAGGUACUCUGGUCAAAGGAACUUGGGGAAGGAGGAUGGUGAGGGGAAUGAAGUUCUUCUUCCUAUUGAUUAUUUUAUUGCACCAGAGGCUGUUUGUCCAAGGCCACUGGCCAAGAGCAUUAUUUUCGUGGCUAAAGUGAGGUUGGGCAGGUUUCCCAUCCCUUUCGCUAGUUUUAAACAAGACAACCCAGAAAGCGCAGCAAGGCUCUGGGAAUACGAUGUGGGUUGGCUUUUCCUACUCAGCUGCACCUUAAAGCGCCAGGCCAUUGGGCUUGAUACUUCUCAAACCCUGAAUCAUUGCCUCCAGCUCUGCCCUGGGUUCAGGAUGCACCACUCCACCCUCUGUGUAGCUUGGGUCAACUUCGGGGCGUCACUCGAAUAGUAAUUAUUGCUGCGUUUGGCUGGACAUCCUUAUUACGGCCUGGGUCCCUCUCAGCUGGACACCGGGCUCCUUAGUUUGGCUGGGAUGACUCCAGUACUUCCCGCCGCCCCACCUUACCCCCCUACGCGCUCCCUUCCCAAGGCGACCACCUGCACCGCCCCACUUACCAUCUGCCCCGCGGGGAGGGCCCCCCCGGGCUAGCGGAGCCCUCCCUGCUCCCGGGCGGCUUUGGAGGAGCUCGGUGUUUGCCUCCAGCCCUUCGCUACCGGAGGAUCAGGUUCCUCCCCUCCUCCCCCUCCAGCUCCGGCCGCCGCCGCCUCCUUCUUGCAUGACACAGCAGAACCGCAGCUGCUGCAGCAAUUCCAAGCCAUCCGCCCAGGAAGCGCCGCAACCGGGACUCGGGAGGGGUGGAGGGGGCGAGGCAGGGGCCACGGCCCCGGGGGAUCCUCGGCCCCACUGUGCACCACACACUCCUUUCCCAGCCCAGGGGCACGCGAACAAAAUGAGGCUCAAGCUGACCAGGCCGAGCUGGAGGAACGCUGGGGCUUGGCAGCAGAAGGGAUGGGACCAGAGCGAAGGGUGUGGAGGAGACCCCAGUGAGGGCCAGGACAUUUCAGGUAAAGAGAGGUCAUAUCUCCGUACCUCACUUCCUGACACAAACAAGUUUUCACUGUUGUCAGCAACAAAGCCCUAAUAUAGCUGCGGAAGAGAAAAACUGCAUUGCAUUUUGCCUCCUGCAAGCAUCAUCAACAGUUACUGGAGGAAUGUAAUUCCAGAAAGCUUGAAAGCCGUGGUGAUGGUAAUUAUGUAUCAAAUGCCUGGUUCUAUUUCUGUUAUUAUUGUUUUGUCAUUUCUGUUCUCCCAGCGAUCUGACUGAACUUGCAGAGGGACAAAUCCGGUUUUUCUUUUUGACUUUUGUCAAACUGAAUCAGGCCUGAUAGAAAACUCAUUGCUCUCCGAGGAAACAAAGUAGGAGCCAUGAAAUGUCAUUUUAACAGAGCGUGGGUUUGGUGACUGUAGGAAAGGAUUUGAGGACGCUCCUUCUGUUCGGCUUCCUAUGUCAUGAGCACAGACUCCACGCACGCACAGACACCACGGCUCCCGGAUGCUGUGGCUCCCCGAUCUGGGCUCCUGCAGCGCCAGAAGCCCCUCCGGGAUGCUGCGAGGGGCUCCCGGUGGGUGGAGGUACGGACGCCGCUGCGGCCGCCGCCGCCAGUCCUGCUGCUGUUGUUGCUGCUGCAGUCACGUGGGAGCCCCUUUAAGUUUCCAUAGAGAGGCCUCUCUGGUGUCACAUGAUGGACAUGAUAUAAUGAAACAACAUUGUGGAGAGGAAAGCAUUAGGGGAGCCCACGGCUACAAAAACAAGUGAGUGAGAAGAGGUGGGAGGAAGAGAAACUACGCCACCUCCCCUGCAGCCGAGCGCACGCAGCAGCCUGGCGUGACAAGUGGGCGACGCCGGGGGGCAGGGAGCCGGGGUCCUCGGCCCUGGCCGGGGACCCCACCGCCCACCGCGCGGAGAACAACUUUUAGCCGGCAGCCCAGGCCAGCGCGGCACCUGUCUCCUGAGUCUCCACCGCUCCUCCCCAUCCAUCCCAGGGAAAUUCUCAAGAAUACUCUCUACAAAUCUACGUGCGCAUCGUUUUCCCCUCUCGUCGCGCCCGGGAGGAAGGAACGAGGCAAGGAGCUAAGCAGCGUGCGUUCAGCCCUGGGGCAUUUUAUUAAUGCUUUUACGAGUUAGAAGAGUUGGGAUAAUUUACCAUCUGGAGUUUCUCUGCCUUGCUGAUCUGAGCUCAGACCUGCUAAUUUACCAGAGAUGACUGAUAACACCCUGUAACAGCUGAGAGGAAAAUGGAAGAAGCAGUGAUACUUUUAGUGAAACAGAAUAAACCACUGAACAGGAGAAAUGAGGAAGCCGUGAGUACCAGUGGAAGGACCAAGCCAGGAAGAGGGACUGGAACCAUCUCAGAAGCCGUUCCCCUCAGCCUGGAACUUGCCCUGUCUCCUUGCAGAUGAGGUAGGAGGCUCAGCACAGGCUGGCGGGAGCAGCCCACAGCAGCAGUGAGGGUCAGUGGGCCUGUGAGUUAAGAAGAAGGUGGCACAGAGCGAGGGUCUCUGGGUCCUGUUUGACUUUUCCAUGACUGGGAUAAGUAGCCAGGGCUUGGCUAGUUGGAGAGUUACUUGAACCUCAGGUGACAGUUGUAAGGCAGCACAUGGUGUAAAAGAGUCCUAGCCUGGGAAAGUCCAAAAUCUUGGGUCUGCUUUUCAGUUCACUCACCUAUCUCUGUGACAUAGCAAAGUCUCUUAACUUCUUUAAUUUUCCGAUUAGUGGUAUAGUUGCAGGAAUGAAAUAAAACUGGUCCUGAUGACUCAGAGAUUCAUUUACUGAUUACUCUUUUUGUGAUCUGAAUAAAGAGUACAACAUCUCUCAAAAGGUAACAAUUUGAUAUUUCAGGAAAUUAGAGAAGUUAAGAGACUUUGCUGUAUUAUGCAGAUAGUUGACUGACUGCUGAGCCCAGACCCGAGAUUCAUUUAUAAAACAAAAGAGAAGUACAUACUCUGAGGUUUAUCCUAAAUAAACUAGUCUAGGUAAGUGGCUGAGCUAGGUUUGCCAUGAAUCAAUCUGCUGAGUAUAUUUCUUGGUAACUAGUUCAUCUUUCCUUAAUUCAGUCAACAAAUAUGAUACCAAGUUUAGUAAGAUGAUGACGGAUGUCAUGUAAUACUCCAUCUGGAAGACUGUGUGCUUCUCAGCUUCCCUAACUUUUCUUAAUCUACCUUAAGCUUCCCUUCUGAAAGGUUUCUGUCUUUCCUAACAGUCUCUUCUUACCGCCAGCUGCCUCUUGUGUUUAAGAAUUUAAGGAAGAUGAGCUAGGAAUCAAGAAAUACCCAGAACUGAUUCCUGUCACUGGCCCCACCCUGCCACUUGCCCAGAGCUGUGGCAUAAAUUUUUUUAAUAGGCUGAAAUAAAGAUAUGAAUAGUAUUUUGGUAUUAAGCAUUGAUAAAAGUAAAGGCCAUGAGAUAUACCUGCUCUCACCAUGUUAAUUUUCUAUUAUUGGUAUUAAUAAAUUAUUACUUACUAACAUAUUAACAAGAAUUGCAUCGAGAAAAAAAGCAGCCACAGGCCAAAUCUUUUGAAUUUCAAAUGUUUAUAUUAAUGUAUUGUAUUCUAGAAAAGUAGAAUUGUCUUAAGUAGCUUUGUAAUAUAAAGUCAUCUAUCAGCCCAUGACACCUAUUAGAAUGUUUCAACCUUUGUCUCCCACUUUUUUGUUUCUAGACUGAGUGUACUUGGUCUGGUAUUUGUGGCAUAACUUACAGAACACAUAAGAAUGAUACAGAUACUACUUAAUGACGACCUAGUACAAGCUUAGAUAGCUAAGGUGAAAGCUUCUGUGGCCUUAACAUUUUCCUCUUGAAGAAUGUAUUUGCUGUAAUAAAAUACAGUGACUAUUUGAAAUCUAUAAACUUAUGUGAGGUCUGGAUAAAUCUGAGCAACUUUCUUUUUUGUGCUCCAGGAACCCACGCACUAUAUAUACAAAUAAAGCUUAAGUAAACAUCACUGCUGCAA